rnacentral:tRNA from 1 species
CCAUCGCUGGUUCAGUGGUAGAAUGCUUGCUUGCCACGCUGGCGGUCCGGGUUCGAUUCCCAGCCGAUACA